GCGCCGGUGGUGUAAAGGCGUAGAGCAUUCCCGCCCGGUCAGAGGGAGGUGCGGGUUCGAGUCCCGCCUGGCGCC
rfam:Heligmosomoides polygyrus genome assembly, scaffold: HPBE_scaffold0006558